GAUGAACGCUGGCGGCGUGCCUAAUACAUGCAAGUCGAGCGAACAGACGAGGAGCUUGCUCCUUCGACGUUAGCGGCGGACGGGUGAGUAACACGUAGGUAACCUACCUAUAAGACUGGGAUAACUUCGGGAAACCGGAGCUAAUACCGGAUAAUAUUUCGAACCGCAUGGUUCGAUAGUGAAAGAUGGCUUUGCUAUCACUUAUAGAUGGACCUGCGCCGUAUUAGCUAGUUGGUAAGGUAACGGCUUACCAAGGCAACGAUACGUAGCCGACCUGAGAGGGUGAUCGGCCACACUGGAACUGAGACACGGUCCAGACUCCUACGGGAGGCAGCAGUAGGGAAUCUUCCGCAAUGGGCGAAAGCCUGACGGAGCAACGCCGCGUGAGUGAUGAAGGUCUUCGGAUCGUAAAACUCUGUUAUUAGGGAAGAACAAACGUGUAAGUAACUGUGCACGUCUUGACGGUACCUUAUCAGAAAGCCACGGCUAACUACGUG
rnacentral:rRNA from 1 species